rnacentral:rRNA from 1 species
GCCUAAGGUAUGCAAGUCGAAUGCCGAUUUAUCGGCAUGGCAGACGGCUGAGUAACACAUGGGAAUCUACCUCAAACUCGAGAAUAGCCCAUCGAAAGGUGGUGUAAUACUCGAUAGUUCCGUUUACGGUAAAGCUCCGGCGGUUUGAGAUGAGCCCAUGUCCUAUCAGGUUGUUGGUGGGGUAAUUGCCUACCAAGCCUAUGACGGGUAGCUGGUUUGAGAGGAUGAUCAGCCAGACUGGGACUGCGAUACGGCCCAGACUCCUACGGGAGGCAGCAACUAGGAAUCAUGCGCAAUGGACGAAAGUCUGACGCCGCGACGUCGCGUGAGGGAUGAAGGUCUUAGGAUCGUAAACCUCUUUUAUCUGGGAACAAGUUCUGAGUGUACCAGAUGAAUAAGUGCCUGCCAACCACGUGCCAGAAGCAUCGGUAAUGCGUGGGGCACGAGCGUUAUCCGGAUUUACUGGGCGUAAAGAGAUGCGUAGGCGCCUUUUUAAGUCACUUGUAAAAUCUCCCCGCUCAACGGGGAAACUGCAAGUGAUACUGAAUUGGUUGAGUCAAGUAGAGGAGAGGGGAAUUCCUGGUGGAGCGGUUAAAUGCGUUGAUAUCAGGAGGAAUACCAAGUGCGAAGGCACCUCUCUGGACUUGUACUGACGCUGAGGCUCGAAAGUGUGGGGAGCAAAACGGAUUAGAUACCCGUGUAGUCCACACUGUAAACGAUCCCUGCUAGAUGUUUGC